GCACCUGUGGGGCAUCGGCAGCCCACCGCCCUUCGAUUACCUCGCAAGCAAAGUCGAACUUGGAUGGGCGGAGAGCGGGGUUCGACUCCCCGUGGGUGCA